GGAGGACGCUGCUGCUGGGCCCCGCUGGAGGAACGAACAGACAGGUUUUUGGAUUUUUCAAGAAACAUGAAGAGAAGAAGACGUAUCAAUCCAAAGGAUGAUGCCAGAUAUUAUGUCAGCACUGGAAAGGACAAACCAGGAUUUGAUGUAAAACACAUUAGUGUUUUCAAAGGUCGUGGGAUCUUCACUACUGCCCCAUUCGAAAAAGGGGACUUCCUACUAGAGUACCAAGGUGAACUCAUUACCCAUCAG